AUGGUAAUAAUAGCAAUAGCAAAAUCUCGUAUAACAAAGACAUUACAAAAAAAAACAACAAACAGAAAACAAAAUCGAUGUUUGAGAGUACAACACAGUAAUCGAAAAUAAAUGUAAUUGGAUUUCUGCAUUUGCGUCCAUUUCGUUUUAGAUUGCGCACAGAGCACGUUUCAUGUGGAUAGCAUAACAAAAAAAAAAGACAACAAAAAACUAAGAGAAACAAAAAACACACGUGAACAGAAGAUAUACACGAUAUCAUCGACAAUAGACCUUUAUACACAGUGAAAAUACGGUGGUGCAGAAAAACCAACGCACAUCAUAUGCAGUGACAGUGAAAUAUAAAGUAAACGCGAGCAAACAUAUGAAGUUAACGAAUCUGACUGAUUUUGUUUGUUCACAUUAUGUGCAUUCAAACCGUUGAAUUUUUUCGCAUGCGACGACAAAAACGGGCCAAACAAUAACGAUUAAAUAAUAUGUUUGUGCAUGAUUUGGAAUCGAUUUCAUCCACCAACAACAACAACAACCACAACAAUAAACAGCAUCAAUCGGUGCAAUUACAAUUUAUCGGCUGCCGACAAUUAAAAACAACGAUUCAAUUGAAACAGUAAUGUAAACAUAAACUACAAGAAAAUAUAAAUGACUCAUCACCGAUACAUAUAUUCAGCUGUAUAAACUCUAUUGUGGCAUUGUGAAUCGAACGAGAAACGAUACCGCUAGUAAAAUUUCAUCAUUGUUGAAAAGAACUGUUUAACAAAAGAGAGAUUCAAAUUCGGUUUUUGAUGCCAAAAACAAAAAGAAAGUGGAAAAGAACCGUGAAUUUUCAGUGUGAAUCAGUGCAAUUUGACUUUUGAAAUUUUGUUUGUUUUUCCAUUUUGUCAUUCAUUGUAUAAUGUUAAAUCAAUAUAUUUUUCAUCGUUAGUUCCAUUGUUCGAUUAGAAUUUUUGUUCUGAACCAAAAAAUUUACGUCUGGUUAAAACGUGCAUUUCUUGUUGUUGUGUUUUUUUGUUCGUUUGUUUACUUUCAUCGUCAUUAUUGUCGUAUCUCUAUUAGUGUAUGUAUGUGUUGGAUGUGUGUGGUACAUCCUAUGCAAUGUUAGAUUGAAAAUCGAAAGAGGAAUCGCAUUGUUUGUGCAUAAAAGUGGAUAAAAAAGACCAAACUGCAUUCGUAAAUAUAUAGUUAUUUCGGUGCAUGGCCAAACUUUCAAUCUCGCUUCAAGUUGACGACGACGACGACCACGACGCAUCGAGAGUUUUUCAUCUCAUUGGCAAAAAAAUUACAAAUAGAUAGUAACGGAACAGUGACGACGACGACGACGACUGGAAAAAAGAAAGUACGUGUUGGUGCUGUGCAAGUGAAGGGCAAAAAAUGACACCGAAAUGUGGAUGGAUUCUAUUUUUAGUGUUGUUCGUACCAAAUUACAUAGAAACUGGUUCGGUGAAAAAUCUGGGAGGAAACCUGAACGAAUACAUAUCACAUUAUGAAACGUUAAACUAUGAUCAUCACCAGAUUCAUGCUAGUCAUAGUAGAGCAAAACGUUCGGUUACCAAAGAUCCAUACGUUUUUUUAAAGUUUCGUGCACACAAUCGACCAUUUCACCUUAGACUAAAACGUGAUGUAGAUACAUUUAGCGAUAAUUUAGUGGUGGAUACACCAAACGGUGAAUUACCGUAUGUUGAUACAUCGCAUAUAUAUCAUGGUCAUGUGUUGGGCGAUCCGCACAGUCAUGUGUUCGGUUCGUUACACGAUGGUGUGUUCGAAGGUAAAAUUUUAACCGAAAAUAAUGCAUACUAUGUGGAGCAUGCAAAACGAUAUUUUCCAAAUCGAACACAUCUUGAUUAUGGAUUCCAUUCGGUUAUUUACAAUGAACGGGAUGUGGUCGAUGAUCCAUUUGCUCACAAACGAAAACACGGCCAUGUAAAUGGAUGUGGUAUCAACGAAGAUAUUUCACAAUGGAUGGAAAGCGUACAAAAUGCAGCCACCGAUGAUGAAAACGAUGACAACGAAAACGUUGUCGACGAUAGCAAAAAUAAUAUACCACCUCAACCAGUAAAUUUAAAUGCAAACAAAUCGACGGCAAAAUAUGCGACAAAUGCUAAGCAAAAAGUUAAACAAAAUCAAAACUCCAUUUUCGAGGAUGACAAAUCACCGCAUUUCAAGUAUACAAAAGAAGCUAAUUUUGAGUAUGAUGGCGCAAAUGGCAAUAAAAAGAGGGAACGUGUUAAGCGAGCCGCACGACCGAAGGAGGAUAAUCGAAAUACGUGCUCGUUAUACAUUCAAACCGAUCCACUCAUUUGGCGGCACAUUCGUGAAGGCAUUGCCGAUCAUGACCGUAGCCGAAAAUCAGAAAUUGAUGAAAAAACGCGCGAAGAAAUUUUGUCGUUGAUCGCACAUCAUGUCACAGCCGUCAAUUACAUCUAUCGCAAUACAAAAUUUGACGGACGAUUUGAACAUCGAAACAUUCGAUUUGAGGUUCAACGAAUUAAAAUUGACGAUGAUUCAGCAUGCAGUGAAUCGUACAGUGGUGAUAUAAAUCCGUUCUGCAUGGAAAAUAUUGACGUAUCAAAUUUUCUAAAUCUACAUUCAUUGGGCAAUCAUGAAUUCUUUUGUCUUGCCUAUGUGUUCACAUACCGUGAUUUUACGGGCGGUACAUUGGGAUUAGCUUGGGUUGCUUCAGCUUCAGGAGCUUCUGGUGGAAUUUGUGAAAAAUACAAAACUUAUACCGAAACUGUUGGCGGUCUAUACCAAAGUACGAAACGUUCUUUAAACACCGGAAUCAUAACAUUUGUGAAUUACAAUAGUCGAGUACCACCAAAAGUGUCACAAUUAACGUUAGCACAUGAAAUCGGACACAAUUUUGGUUCACCGCACGAUUAUCCACAAGAUUGUCGUCCGGGCGGUUUAAGUGGCAACUAUAUAAUGUUUGCCAGCGCAACGAGCGGUGAUCGGCCGAAUAAUAGUAAAUUUUCAACGUGUUCCAUUCGAAAUAUCUCAAAUGUGUUAGAUGCAAUCGAAGACAGUAAAAAGCGAAACUGUUUCACAGCAUCGGAAGGUGCAUUUUGUGGCAAUAAAAUUGUCGAAAUUGGUGAAGAAUGUGAUUGUGGUUUUAACGAUGAUGAAUGUCAGGAUAAAUGUUGUUAUCCACGAUUGAUAAGCGAUGCUGAUAUGAGCGUAAAUGCAAGUGCUCGCGGUUGUACACGUCGUGCAUACACACAAUGUAGCCCAAGUCAAGGGCCAUGUUGUUUGAGUGAAAAAUGUAUGUUUGUACCGGCACAUUAUCAUCAGAAAUGCAAAGAAGAGAGUGAAUGUUCAUGGAGUUCAAUGUGCAAUGGCACAACACCUGAAUGUCCAGAACCAAAACCACGUGAUGAUAAAACGAAAUGUAACAACGGAACACAAUUAUGUAUUCGUGGUGAAUGUUCGGGUUCAAUAUGCCUAUUAUGGAAUAUGACUGAGUGCUUCCUAACAACACAGGCCACAGGCCAAAACAUCGAUAAACGAAGAUUAUGCGAACUUGCGUGCCAAAAUGGCAACGAUACAAAUACGUGCCGAAGUACAAGCGAAUUUGGCACCGAAGUUGGGCUUCCACCAGAAGGUAUAAGUUUGCGACCCGGUUCACCGUGUGAUAAUUUCCAAGGUUAUUGCGAUGUAUUCCUAAAAUGUCGCGCCAUUGAUGCCGAAGGACCACUUGCUCGUUUGAAGAAUUUAUUGUUCAACAAACAUACAUUAAAUACGGUUCAACAAUGGGUCACUGACUAUUGGUAUAUUUGCGUAUUAUUUGCCAUCAUUUUCAUAAUUAUAAUGGGAAUAUUCAUAAAAUGUUGUGCCGUGCACACGCCAAGCUCAAAUCCGAAGAGACCACCGGCCAGACGUUUUUCAGAAACACUUCGACGACCGAUGCACACUUUACGAAGAAUGCGGCAUCAUGGUGGACAUCAUCGAUAUCCAGCUGGUCCGCGGAGUAUACCACCGUCACGAAGUUCAGGCGAUGAAAGUUUUGGUCACGUGAGCAGAAAUGCUAGUCGAAGCCAUCAUGCACCAUCGCAUAAUGGUUCGCGAAAUAGUCAUCCGAGUCGAAAUGUCGAUCCCCGGCGACAGCAUCAUUCAUCAGGUGGUAGCAACGGUGCAAUUGGUAGUAGACCAUCCAGUGGUUCACGUUCAGCAUCAGCCGGCCAUCAUGGGUAUGAUCAAGGAGGUCAGCAACAAAAUUCAUAUAAAGCCGUCAUGUACAAGCCAAUCCCAGAUAAGAAAGCACGAAUCCAAAUGCAGCAAUUUAGCUAAUUGUAGUUCAAUCGUAGCUAAAUUUUAUCUUCGUUUGGUCCCCCACAAUUCUUGAUUUUAAACAUUCCAUUUGGCUAUUAUGUACAUUUCACACAAAAAUACUCAAAAGAAAACGCGUCGAUCUACCAGCAGUAAACUAUAGGAUGAGUCCCGAAACAUAGAUUAACUCGUUUGUGUGUAUGUGCAAAUCAACAAACAAUUCAUAAAUGCAUACAUCCUUUUGCGACUUCAUUGCAUCACAAAAUAGACUAUAUAUUAGAUACAACGGUUGAAACUCUAGUGGAAACCGUAUGAUUUAAUUGAAUGAAAAGAGAAAAUAAGAUAUACUUUAUAAAUUAUAGAGGAAAGAAACAAAUGUUCUAUUUUUAAUUUGACAAUUUAAGUUUUCUGUGAUUCCAAUUUAGUAUGAGGAGAGAAAUUGAAAUGAAGACAAGUUCAAGAGGUCAAUGUAUUGUCGAAUACGUUAUUAAAAUGAGCAUAUGAUACACAGUCUCAAAAUGGACGAAGAGAUGACAUCAGUUUUGUAUGCGCUUGAAUAAGAAUUGAUUGCGUCGUUAUUCAAAUCAAAAGUCCAUUUAUUUCGUUCAAAAUCAUGGCACAAUCCUAUACAUUGCACGCAUCAAUUGUUUAUGUGCAUACGAAACGAUGUUAAUUUCUCUUCUGCCAUAACAAUCAGGCCUUUAUUUAAUCAAACUUGCGAACACACUCGAAAUAUAUAGUGAAAAAUAUAGCCAAACACAAUAUGCUGAACUGCGAAAAACGAAAGCAAAGAAGAAGAAGAAAAAAAUGGUAAAAAGCCCACAUAUACUGCAAGCAUAAAACUCAUUUUUUCUGUGUAUAAAAAUAAAAACUAAAUGAUAACAUGAAUGUUACAAUUGUAAAGAAUAUAUUCGAACUCCGUACGAAAACUAAGUUUAUGGAGGAAAAAAAAUGACAAAUAAUGAAAUGAGAUAAAAUAUCGUAAUGGUAGGGACACAUUUAAAAUGUAUAUGUAAUACGUCUCAGAUCAAUAUUUACACAAACUGAUUUCGAUAGAAACAUAAAUUUCAAUACAUACACUGUCUGAAAGUAUUUCUAGUGUGUAAUUGAAAGAAAUAAAAACAGAACAAAAAAAAAGUAUUACAGAAUUAGUUAGGAUAAUAUUUUUAUAAUAAACGGACAUAUUCGGUUAUUAGUGAGAAAGACAAUUAAGUGAAAUUAAGAAUUGAUUUAAUCGAGAAAGAGAGAAAUGAUUAAAGUGAUCAAAAUCAAAUUUCAACUGGCAAGAAAAUUUAGUAAAAUUCA